UAUACAUACGACCAAGAGCAUCAGUAGA
rnacentral:piRNA from 1 species